ACCAUUGGCAUGCAGGCUAUAUAUGCUCCAAUACAAUCUGUGGAAAAGUAUGCAGUAGGCAUGGAUGGGGGCAGAGGGAGGAGAGGUGGAGGACAGAAGCUUCAAGAAAGUCUGCAGUGCCCCCACCCACCCACCUCCCUGAUGUCAUUUCAUCUGAUAGCCACAGUAUUAGGAUAACAAAGCUUUAGGCAAAAUGCUUAACACUGACAGGAAAAGUAAUUGGCAAAGCCUGGUGACAAUGUGUCCCCCCUCUUUAAAAAAUAUCAAAGAUAUACCAGUGGUCCCUCUUUUUUUCAAAACAAAAAAAGGGUAUUCAUAUUUUUGUUGCUAUAAUAUUCUAUUUAAUCCUGCUUGCAUACUCAGUCUCAUAAUGCUUUAGGAAGGGUAAAGUUUGUUUCCUUUUUUUUUACUUUGCUGAGCUUGUUCUCUCCUGAGCCAUCAUUGCCUGAUGCAUUUUUUCCCUCUCCGUGAUUUGCCAAAGCACACAAGCUGAUAAGUGAGAUACAUAAGAUUGAAAAAAGAAAGAAAUUAAAAGCCACCUUAAAAGACUAUAGUUAUUCCCUCCAACAACGUGUGCAUGCGUACAGCCACACACCCAAAGCACAAAAUUUAAGGAGAGUGGUUCUUUAAAAAGAAUCAAGAAAAAAGGAAGAAAACCUGUGUGCUUGAUUCUAACUCACUUUCUUUAUUUGUUCAAUCAUUCAGUACAAACUCAUCAGCAUUCAGAAAAUCAGAAUUCAUCUACAGCUUAGAUAUGCACAGAGCCUAUUGACAAUGAUGGACCUGCUUGAAACAUGAGGGGGGAAGCUGUUGAUAUGCUGAGGAGCACCGUGAAGUGAAGAAGUAUCCAAGGACAGUGAGCUGAACAUCAUGCUAAGAUCUGGAUGUUGUGUCCUUCCAUCUGAACAUUAGCUACUGAGGCACCAGCCAUCAAACACGGGGCAGUCAGUGUUCUAAGUACCUGACAGCUUUGAGAAGGACUAACAACAUAAGAAAAUAUGCAAAAAUGUCUCUUAGAAAGGUCCUAAUGUCAUAUUCCUACAGAAGGGCAUGGUGUAGUUCCAUUCAUGGAGAAAAACACUUCAGCCUAAAUGCUGACAAGAAAUCAAAAUACUGUUGGACGCAUAGUGACAGACUGAGGACUGUUAACAUGUCUUUGUUAUGUAUGUUGUUACUUGAUUUCAUUGUUGUUUCCCACUUUGAAUGCUAUUUAGUAGCACCAUCACCAACUCUAUGAGAUCCAUGUUGGGUUGAAAUCAUCCAGUGCAUUUCUGAAGGUCAAGGGAAGACACUGAUUUUUAUGAAAUGUCCUAGAGAAUUGGGAAAUAUUAAUAUGUGAUAGAGAUUACUGAAGUUGCAUCUACACUGUAAAAUUAAUGCAGUUUGACACCACUUUCAUUGCCAUAGAUCGAUGUUAUCAACAUUUAUAAUAAACAUGCAGAUGCAUUGAUCAUUGGGUUCAGUGUCAUAAUUCUUACAUAAUCCAUAUAGAGACACAGAAAAUAAGAACAGUAAUUAUUUAAUAUGUAACAAUUAGGUUAAACAUUUCCUUUGAUUCUGGCGCCAUACACAGUAUAAUGUAACACUUGAGUCAAAACAAAAUAACACCUCUCCCUGAACAGCUUCCACACUCUCAGUUCCCAGCAAACCAAAAUCCACUCUCGCCCACUCUUCCUAUGUAUUCAUAGCCCUUAUAAUUUCUCUUUGACUAACCAGUCCUAACUCAUCUCCUCUCAAACUUUAACUUAUUCCAAUCUUCUCUUACCCCAUCUCUAUUU